GAAAUGCGAUACUUGGUGUGAAUUGCAGAAUCCCGUGAAUCAUCGAGUCUUUGAACGCAAGUUGCGCCCGACGCCAUUCGGCCGAGGGCACGUCUGCCUGGGUGUCAC
rnacentral:rRNA from 1 species